rnacentral:rRNA from 1 species
GUGCCAGCAGCCGCGGUAAUCCGGAGGGUGCAAGCGUUGUCCGGAAUCAUUGGGUGUAAAGGGUGCGUAGGCUGGCGCCUAAGUCUGAGGUGAAAUCUUGCCGCUUAACGGUAAAAUGGCCUUGGAUACUGGGUGUCUUGAAUCUGACAGAGGUCGGUGGAAUUCGUAGUGUAGCGGUGAAAUGCAUAGAUAUUACGAAGAACACCAGUGGCGAAGGCGGCCGGCUGGGUCAGUAUUGACGCUGAGGCACGAGAGCGUGGGGAGCGAACAGGAUUAGAUACCCUGGUAGUCCACGCUGUAAACGAUGUAUGCUAGUUGUUGGGCCGUUAGGUUCAGUGACGCAGUUAACGCAGUAAGCAUACCACCUGGGGAGUACGUUCGCAAGAAUGAAACUCAAAGGAAUUGACGGGGGCCCGCACAAGCGGUGGAGCAUGUGGCUUAAUUCGAUGCAACGCGAAGAACCUUACCCGGGCUAAAUCCACGAUGACCGCUCCCGAAACGGAGCUUCCCUUCGGGGCAUCAUGGAAGGUGCUGCAUGGCUGUCGUCAGCUCGUGCCGUGAGGUGUUGCCUUAAGUGGCGCAACGAGCGCAACCCCUGUGGUUAGUUACCAGCACGUAAUGGUGGGGACUCUAGCCAGACUGCCUACGCAAGUAGUGAGGAAGGUGGGGACGACGUCAAGUCAUCAUGGCCCUUAUGUCCGGGGCUGCACACGUGCUACAAUGGAUGGUACAGAGGGAAGCUACCCAGCGAUGGGCUGCAGAUCUCAAAAGCCAUUCCCAGUUCGGAUUGGAGUCUGCAACUCGACUCCAUGAAGGUGGAAUCGCUAGUAAUCGCGUAUCAGCAAUGACGCGGUGAAUACGUUCCCGGGCCUUGUACACACCGCCCGUCAAGCGAUGGAAGUCAGGAGUACCUGAUGUCGCCAUGCUAAUCCCGAUUUAUCGGGAAGGCAGGUGCCUAGGGUAAGCCUGGUAACUGGCGCUAAGUCGUAGCAAGGUAACC